rnacentral:rRNA from 1 species
UGGGGAAUAUUGCGCAAUGGGCGAAAGCCUGACGCAGCGACGCCGCGUGAGGGAUGAAGGUUUUCGGAUCGUAAACCUCUGUCAGAAGGGAAGAAACCGCACUGUGCUAAUCAGCAGUGCCUUGACGGUACCUUCAAAGGAAGCACCGGCUAACUCCGUGCCAGCAGCCGCGGUAAUACGGAGGGUGCAAGCGUUAAUCGGAAUUACUGGGCGUAAAGCGCACGUAGGCUGCUUUGUAAGUCAGGGGUGAAAUCCUACGGCUCAACCGUGGAACUGCCUUUGAUACUGCUUAGCUUGAAUCCGGGAGAGGGUGGCGGAAUUCCAGGUGUAGGAGUGAAAUCCGUAGAUAUCUGGAGGAACAUCAGUGGCGAAGGCGGCCACCUGGACCGGUAUUGACGCUGAGGUGCGAAAGCGUGGGGAGCAAACAGG